AAAAAGGGCUUCUGUCGUGAGUGGCACACGUAGGGCAGCUUGACUGCUCUAUGUGCGGGAUUGACAUCAAGAGAUUUCGGAAGCAUAAUUUUUUGGUACCUGGGCAGCUAGUGAUCGCUGGUCCUGGCGCCCUU